AUUGUUUGCCUCCAUAAUUUAAUCAUCACUGACAGCUCGAGCUGGAUGAGAAGUCGGGAAAUGAGCUCAAGCUGUGCAAAAGGUUUCUGCAGAAAUAAGAAUAAGUGAAGUGAGAAGUGAAACUUUCAUUGUUAAAUAUCAUCGAGGAGAGUUGAACAAGAAGCACUAUCCACAAUCACUGAGCGACGAAGUAUGGUGUUUGCAAAAAAUAGCCAAAGACAGUGCUCUGCACAAGUGCAUGACUUCGAGAGGAAUCGACACUGUUCAAGAUUUCCUCCAGCUGUACGAAGCGGAUGCGCCUUUCUAAGAAACAAAGUACUUGGAAAUGGGAUCACCAAGCAGACAUGGGAGACCAUCGUCAGACAUGCCAGCCCCUGUGUAAUCAACGAUGACAAGAUGUAUUUCUACCAAGCUUUGAACAAGGCCAGUAUAGUGUUCAAUUCGGUCAUGAAAGUUUCUCAAGCAGCACUCGAUGGCCAAAUUUACCAGUUGGUAGACAUAUUGGCCCACUCUCAGAAGAUUUUGUUGCAGAACUUGAAAUGGCUAGAUUACAAUAACAAGAAUCAAUGGCGGUGCUCAAUGCCCUGCCCAGCGUCUCUCUUCUGAGAGCCCCAACCAAUUUGCCUACAGAGCCGUCAAUCGGCCUGAGCCUGCCUCUUCAUCAUCUGUUUUACACAGAGCUAAACCAAGCUAUUGUGCAUCGUGCUGCUACAAUGUCACAGAGAUCAGACAAUUAGUUUUCUGGGGCCACAGUCAUAUCACUGCAAAAAUCUUUGAUCCGACUGUAAUUCAACAGCUUGGCAAGGGAGGACUUUUUGUCCAGUUUGAGUGCUGGCGAAAGCAGUCAUCUUCCUGGUUACACACAAGAUGUGUUUGCGUCGAAUAUCCAUUUGUCUCCUGAAGAGCUUUUCCAAGUGCCAUCUCCAAUCCCUAGCAAUUUGAUGUGGACACCGGAGCAUACUUUCAUCAUUGAGUCGAGCAGCGGGGCAGAUUUUGGGAUCUGGCCAUCUCGCACGGGUUAUGGAGUCCAUAAUUCUAGGAUUGCAAGGGUCAAGGUGGCAUGGUGCAAGAUCCGUGAUGUAGUGAAGUGGGGAUUGGUUCAGCGCGUUGCGGCUGCAAAGAGAACAGCAAUGUUCAAUUGUGCAAGUUAUCCAGCUGUAUAAAUGGAGAGUCUGAUCCCCCAAAAGAAUUUUGGGUGCUUCAGGAGUGCGAAGCUCUCACCCACACAGGCCAGUCAUCACACGCGAAGUACAAAAAAAAAGGAAAUUCAUGAUACUUGAUGCGAGGAGAUUGUCUUGGGGGUAUGAGAAUGUCUAGUUCUAGGAUUGUGCACCAUCAAGAUGGGGCUGCCAAUUGGACGUGUCUUCUCUCUAUGGGUCACGCAAGCUGAUCUUAGGAAGUACCUCAAUACAGGGGUUCUUCCUCAAGAAUUGUAAGGCUUUUGCUCUCUUCUUCAAGAAUUGUUUGGCAUUCUGUUUGUCCCAAAUACAUCAUCCCUUGAUUUGUCAGUUUACUGCCCUGA